GCUUGCAUCCGGUGGCGACCGGCGCACGGGUGCGGAACGCGUAUGGAACCUGCCCCUGUCAGGGGAAUAGCCCAGAGAAAUUUGGAUUAAUGCCCCAUGGUAUCGCGGAGACACAUGUUUUUGUGAUUAAAGAUUUAUCGGACAGGGAUGGCCAUGCGUACCAUUAGCUUGUUGGUGGGGUAACGGCCCACCAAAGCCACGAUGGUUAGGGGCCCUGAGAGGGGGAUCCCCCACACUGGUACUGAGACACGGACCAGACUCCUACGGGAGGCAGCAGUGAGGAAUAUUGGACAAUGGUCGGGAGACUGAUCCAGCCAUGCCGCGUGCAGGAUGACUGCCCUAUGGGUUGUAAACUGCUUUUAUACGGGAAGAAACGCACCUACGUGUAGGUGUCCGACGGUACCGUAAGAAUAAGGACCGGCUAACUCCGUGCCAGCAGCCGCGGUAAUACGGAGGGUCCGAGCGUUAUCCGGAAUCAUUGGGUUUAAAGGGUCCGUAGGCGGGCCAUUAAGUCAGGGGUGAAAGUCUGCAGCUCAACUGUAGAAUUGCCUUUGAUACUGGUGGUCUUGAGUCGUUGUGGAGUGGCCGGAACAUGUGGUGUAGCGGUGAAAUGCAUAGAUAUCACAUAGAACACCGAUCGCGAAGGCAGGUCACUAACAACGAACUGACGCUGAUGGACGAAAGCGUGGGUAGCGAACGGGAUUAGAUACCCCGGUAGUCCACGCCGUAAACGAUGGAUACUAGCUGUCGGGUUUUCGGACUCGGCGGCCAAGCGAAAGUGAUAAGUAUCCCACCUGGGGAGUACGUUCGCAAGAAUGAAACUCAAAGGAAUUGACGGGGGCCCGCACAAGCGGUGGAGCAUGUGGUUUAAUUCGAUGAUACGCGAGGAACCUUACCAGGGCUUAAAUGUAGUAUGACA
rnacentral:rRNA from 1 species